UCUUCAUGCUACAUAAAAGCUUAUAAGUGUGAGCUGAGUCUUGUGGAAAACAGUUGUGCCAGCACGGUUCAGCUGCCAAUUUGCUUUCUGUUCUGUUAGCUUUCAUCAGUAAAUACAUUUUUUGGCCGCAAGUUUAUGAUGCUAAUAUAUGCUCCCUCCGUUCCAAAAUAGAUGACCCAACUUUGUACUAACUUUAUACUAACGCUAGUACAAAGUUGAAUCAUCUAUUUUGGAACGGAGGGAGUAGGUUGGUUCUUUUCAGCAUCUUGGUUUGGUGUAAAUGAGCAACAUAAAUGAAUUUGACAUGAUUCAAAUACAUAGAUCUGUUGUAUUUUAUUGAUAGAUGAACAUCAUACUCCAUUGGUUGUGUGUCCACACUUGGAAGAUUGCUCUGUCUGACUCCUGCUAAUUUGAUCCACAGUUGCCUGCCUGAAAGGGGAGCAAGAAGUCCGGAGGCCAUGGUGGGCACCAUCAUGCCUAUCAGUGGUGUUUGUGAGGGCGGCAAAGCGGAACCGACAGUCCCGAGUUGUCUCUCUUAAGCUGGAACCUUGAUGCUCGCUGGCCGCGCCGGAACACCGCGCCGAGCUAUCCCCCAGAUUCUCUGCCUUACGGGCACUGCAACCGCGCUAUCCCCACAAUGUAGGAGCAGCAGUAUGCUCCGUGUCCAACCCGUUUCUCUACCCCUGUUUUGUAUUCCUUUUUCAUCUUAUAAUAUAGGUUUGUGGAAUAGUAAGUAACCUGAUGUUACCUGAAGUGGAUAAGUAUAUGUGCAGAUGGUUCCUGUAUAAGAUCUGCUUCUUGCAUAUCAGCUUGAGUUGUUCUUGGCUCAAGAAUGGCCUAGAGCAGUAGAUCUUCAUGGCACUGAAAUCGACGAUGUUCUUAUUUUAUUAAUGCUGGCCAGAACAUCAAUGUGAUAUGGUUGUGGCAUGAAACUUUUUGUUGUAUGUGUGUGGUUAUGUUAGUAUAAAUUUG
rnacentral:lncRNA from 1 species